UAGGGAAUAUUGGUUAAUCUGCGAAAGCGGGAACCAGCAACGCCGCGUGCACGAUGAAGGCCUUCGGGUUGUAAAGUGCUUUUUGAGAGGAUGAGGAAGGACAGUACUCUUAGAAUAAGCUUCGGCUAACUACGUGCCAGCAGCCGCGGUAAAACGUAGGAAGCGAGCGUUAUCCGGAUUUACUGGGCGUAAAGCGUGGGCAGGCGGUUUGAUAAGUUGGAUGUGAAAGCUCCUGGCUUAACUGGGAGAGGUCGUUCAAAACUAUCAGACUAGAGAGUGGUAGAGUGAGGUGGAAUUCCGGGUGUAGUGGUGAAAUGCGUAGAUAUCCGGAGGAACACCAGUGGCGAAAGCGGCCUCCUGGCCCAUUUCUGACGCUCAGACACGAAAGCUAAGGUAGCAAACG
rnacentral:rRNA from 1 species